UGGCCAGACUCCUACGGGAGGCAGCAGUGGGGAAUAUUGCACAAUGGGCGAAAGCCUGAUGCAGCAACGCCGCGUGAGCGAUGAAGGCCUUCGGGUCGUAAAGCUCUGUCCUCAAGGAAGAUAAUGACGGUACUUGAGGAGGAAGCACCGGCUAAAUACGUGCCAGCAGCCGCGGUAAUACGUAUGGUGCAAGCGUUAUCCGGAUUGACUGGGCGUAAAGGGAGCGCAGGCGGCGCGCCAAGUCUGAUGUGAAACCCCGGGGCUCAACCCCGGGCAUGCAUUGGGAACUGGCGGGCUGGAGUGCCGGAGAGGUAAGCGGAAUUCCUAGUGUAGCGGUGAAAUGCGUAGAUAUUAGGAGGAACACCAGUGGCGAAGGCGGCUUACUGGACGGCAACUGACGCUGAGGCUCGAAAGCGUGGGGAGCAAACAGGAUUAGAUACCCGCGUAC
rnacentral:rRNA from 1 species